rnacentral:rRNA from 1 species
CACGUAGGGCGCAAGCGUUGUCCGGAAUUAUUGGGCGUAAAGAGCUCGUAGGCGGUCUGUUGCGUCCGCUGUGAAAACUCGGGGCUUAACCCCGAGCCUGCAGUGGAUACGGGCAGACUAGAGGUAGGUAGGGAGAAUGGAAUUCCCGGUGUAGCGGUGAAAUGCGCAGAUAUCGGGAGGAACACCGGUGGCGAAGGCGGUUCUCUGGGC